rnacentral:rRNA from 1 species
GUCUAUGGCCAUGUAACCCUGAACAAGCCCGAUUCCAUCUGAUCUCGGAAGCUAAGCAGGGUUGGGCCUGGUUAAUACUCGGAUGGGAGACCACCUAAAAAGACCAGGUGCUGUAGGCA